rnacentral:rRNA from 1 species
GAUGAACGCUGGCGGCGUGCCUAAUACAUGCAAGUCGAGCGAACAGACGAGGAGCUUGCUCCUCUGACGUUAGCGGCGGACGGGUGAGUAACACGUGGAUAACCUACCUAUAAGACUGGGAUAACUUCGGGAAACCGGCGCUAAUACCGGAUAAUAUAUUGAACCGCAUGGUUCAAUAGUGAAAGACGGUUUUGCUGCCACUUAUAGAUGGAUCCGCGCCGCAUUAGCUAGUUGGUAAGGUAACGGCUUACCAAGGCAACGAUGCGUAGCCGACCUGAGAGGGUGAUCGGCCACACUGGAACUGAGACGCGGUCCAGACUCCUACGGGAGGCAGCAGUAGGGAAUCUUCCGCAAUGGGCGAAAGCCUGACGGAGCAACGCCGCGUGAGUGAUGAAGGUCUUCGGAUCGUAAAACUCUGUUAUUAGGGAAGAACAAAUGUGUAAGUAACUAUGCACGUCUUGACGGUACCUAAUCAGAAAGCCACGGCUAACUACGUG